CAUAGGCAGCACCUGAGAGGAAAGCAGAGCUUCAUUACCAUUCUUCAUGGUUAGUGUAAGAUACGUUCACAAUGGCAGUAAUUUGGAAGCAACAAGGGAAAAAUAAACUACUUACCCCACAGCAGCAUAAAUCAUUUUCAGUGAUCAACAUCUGCAUCCUCAAACUGUCCGGCAACGGUUGGUGUAGUAUCUACCUCCAUCCCAUCUGAAGAAAAAAAUCAACUGCUGAGCAACAGUCUACGGAGCUCUUCAGAGAGGUACAGGUGCAACCUACAUACCAGCAGAAGGAAGCUAGUGCCCUCUGUUGGUAACAACUGCUAUUUCUUUCUCUUCUGAAAAAGUAACAAGGAUCAAGAAAAAAAAAUGCCACCUGUACAUUAAACAUGUACUUUGUAAAUUCUCAACAUCAACACCAAAAGAACACUACGUAAGAACUUCUGCAUGUAGUGAGCACCAACUGUUCCUUCUUCACAUAACUGUGCUGGGUAUUUACUGUGUGACUUAUUAAAGGUGUAAAAGUCCUAUCCUCACAAAGUUUAUGACAUAAUUUUGAGAAAAGGCAAAAUAAAGAGGAAGGUUCUUGCUUA